UACGUAGGGUGCGAGCGUUGUCCGGAAUUAUUGGGCGUAAAGGGAGCGUAGGCGGACAUUUAAGUCAGGGGUGAAAUCCUGGAGCUCAACUCCAGAACUGCCUUCGAUACUGGAAGACUCGAGUCCGGGAGAGGUGAGUGGAACUGCGAGUGUAGAGGUGAAAUUCGUAGAUAUUCGCAAGAACACCAGUGGCGAAGGCGGCUCACUGGCCCGGUACUGACGCUGAGGUGCGAAAGCGUGGGGAGCAAACAGG
rnacentral:rRNA from 1 species